AAGUAACAAUACGGGGCUUAAUGUCUUGUAAUUGGAAUGAUGGGAAUUUAAACCUCUUCCAGAGUAUCAAUUGGAGGGCAAGUCUGGUGCCAGCAGCCGCGGUAAUUCCAGCUCCAAUAGCGUAUAUUAAAAUUGUUGCAGUUAAAAAGCUCGUAGUUGAAUUUCUGCUGCAUUGCUUUUGCUCCUUUACGAGUCUUUGCAUUGUGGCUUAUUUCGGACUUUGUUUUACAAUGUCCGGAUGUUUACUUUGAGAAAAUUAGAGUGCUCAAAGCAGGCUUUCGCCUUGAAUAGUUUAGCGUGGAAUAAUAAAGUAGGACUUUGGUUCUAUUUUGUUGGUUUUAGGUACCAAAGUAAUGGUUAAUAGGAACAGUUGGGGGCAUUCGUAUUUA
rnacentral:rRNA from 1 species